rnacentral:rRNA from 1 species
UCCCCUAGUAACGGCGAGUGAAGAGGGAAGAGCCCAAGAUUGAAAGCUGGCGUCUUCGGCGUCCGCAUUGUAAUCUCAAGAAGUGUUUUCCGCUUCGGACCAUGCCCAAGUCCCUUGGAAAAGGGCAUCAUAGAGGGUGAUAAUCCCGUACAUGGCAUGGAGCGCCCGAAGCUUUGUGAUACGCUUUCUACGAGUCGAGUUGUUUGGGAAUGCAGCUCAAAAUGGGUGGUAAAUGCCAUCUAAGGCUAAAUAUUGGGGAGAGACCGAUAGCGAACAAGUACAGUGAUGGAAAGAUGAAAAGAACUUUGAAAAGAGAGUUAAACAGUACGUGAAAUUGCCAAAAGGGAAGGGUAGGAGGUCAGAGAUGCGUCUUGGGAUUCAGCCUUGCUUUUUCGCUUGGUGUUUUUCCCAAGUUGCAGGCCAACGUCGGUUUUGGGCACUGGAGAAGGGUGGGAGGAACGUGGCACCUCUCGGGGUGUGUUAUAGCCUCCUACUGGAUACAGCGACCGAGACCGAGGACAGCAGCGUACUCGCAAGAGCGGGCCUUCGGGCACCUUUACGCUUAGGGCGUUGGCAUAAUGGCCCUCUACCACCCGUCUUGAAACACGGACCAAGGAGUCUAACAUGUAUGCGAGUCUUUGGGUGGCAAACCCAUAGGCGCAAUGAAAGUGAAUUCAGGUGGGAUCCGCAAGGUGCACCAUCGACCGAUCCUCACGUCUUUUAAGUCGUGGAUUUGAGUAAGAGCAUACCUGUUGGGACCCGAAAGAUGGUGAACUAUGCCUGAAUAGGGUGAAGCCAGAGGAA